rnacentral:tRNA from 1 species
GAUGGUAUAGCUCAGUGGUAGAGCCCAUGCCUAGCAUGCACGAGGUCCUGAGUUCAGUCCCCAGUGCCUCCA